GAUGAACGCUGACAGAAUGCUUAACACAUGCAAGUCUUUGGCGAAGCUGUGCUUGCACAGCCUAGCCAAGGCGGACGGGUGAGUAACGCGUAAGGAACUUGCCCUGCAGUCAGGGAUAACAGACGGAAACGACUGAUAAGACCUGGUAAAGUCAGGCGGACUCAUGUCCAGCCUGAUGAAAAGAGAUGCUGCAGGAGAGCCCUGCGUCCUAUUAGCUUGUUGGUGGGGUAACGGCCCACCAAGGCGAUGAUAGGUAGCCGGCCUGAGAGGGUGGACGGCCACAAGGGGACUGAGAUACGGCCCUUACUCCUACGGGAGGCAGCAGUGGGGAAUAUUGGACAAUGGGGGCAACCCUGAUCCAGCAAUUCUGUGUGCACGAUGAAGGUUUUCGGAUUGUAAAGUGCUUUCAGCAGGGAAGAAAAAAAUGACGGUACCUGCAGAAGAAGCGACGGCUAAAUACGUG
rnacentral:rRNA from 1 species